GACGUAGGGCGCGGAGCGUUGUCCGGAUUUAUUGGGCGUAAAGAGCUCGUAGGCGGCUUGUCGCGUCGGUCCGUGAAAACCCAUGGCUCAACUGUGGGCUUGCGGUCGAUACGGGCAGGCUGGAGUUCGGUAGGGGAGACUGGAAUUCCUGGUGUAGCGGUGAAAUGCGCAGAUAUCAGGAGGAACACCAAUGGCGAAGGCAGCACUCUGGGACGUGACUGACGCGAGACGCGAAAGCGUGGGGAGCAAACAGG
rnacentral:rRNA from 1 species